rfam:Astyanax mexicanus chromosome 25, whole genome shotgun sequence.
ACAAAGGUUCUAAUAAGAACCCUUAAACUGUUUAAUAAGCUUUACAU